GUGUUAAUCUUUUGUCAGUGUAUAAGUUAGCAAAAGAUAAUAAAAUCACUGUUGUGUUUAAUGAAGAUACUUGUAUGCUUCAGAAUUUAAAAUCAGGGAGAACCCUGGUGACUGGUAAACAGGAUAAUGGUCUGUACUUUGUUAAUAAAGGUGUUGUUGGUAUUGAAAAACAUUCUUGUGAAAUCUGUCAUAGAGCUAAACAGGUUAGAGCUCCUUUCCCUUUAA
rnacentral:lncRNA from 1 species